CAGAGGGUGCGAGCGUUAAUCGGAAUUACUGGGCGUAAAGCGCGCGUAGGCGGCUUUGCAAGUCGGGUGUGAAAUCCCCAGGCUUAACCUGGGAACUGCAUUCGAGACUGCAUUGCUAGAGUAUGGGAGAGGGAAGUGGAAUUUCCGGUGUAGCGGUGAGAUGCGUAGAUAUCGGAAGGAACAUCAGUGGCGAAAGCGACUUCCUGGACCAAUACUGACGCUCAUGUGCGAAAGCGUGGGGAGCAAACAGGAUUAGAUACCCUGGUAGUCCACGCCAUAAACGAUGAGAACUGGAUGUCGGGAGGGUCUGCCUCUCGGUGUCGUAGCUAACGCGUUAAGUUCUCCGCCUGGGGAGUACGGCCGCAAGGUUG
rnacentral:rRNA from 1 species